rnacentral:tRNA from 1 species
CGCGGAGUGGAGCAGUGGUAGCUCGGCAGGCUCAUUACCUGAAGGUCGGGUGUUCGAGUCACCCCUCCGCAA